rnacentral:rRNA from 1 species
CAUGUAGGUGGAUCAAUAAGUCUGCUGUGAAAGUCGAAGGCUCAACCUUCGAAAGCCGGUGGAUACUGUUGAUCUAGAGUACGGAAGAGGCGAGUGGAAUUCCUGGUGUAGCGGUGGAAUGCGCAGAUAUCAGGAGGAACACCAAUAGCGAAGGCAGCUCGCUGGGACGUUACUGACACUGAGAUGCGAAAGCGUGGGGAGCAAACA